rnacentral:rRNA from 1 species
UACGAAGGGGGCUAGCGUUGCUCGGAAUUACUGGGCGUAAAGCGCACGUAGGCGGCUUUCUAAGUCGGGGGUGAAAUCCUGGAGCUCAACUCCAGAACUGCCUUCGAUACUGGAGAGCUCGAGUCCGGGAGAGGUGAGUGGAACUGCGAGUGUAGAGGUGAAAUUCGUAGAUAUUCGCAAGAACACCAGUGGCGAAGGCGGCUCACUGGCCCGAUACUGACGCUGAGGCACGAAAGCGUGGGGGAGCAAACAG